CAGUAGCCGCGGUAAUACGAGGGGGGCAAGCGUUGUUCGGAAUUAUUGGGCGUAAAGGGUGCGUAGGCGGUUUGACAAGUCUUAUGUGAAAUCUCUGGGCUCAACCCAGAGUCUGCAUGGGAAACUGUCGGGCUUGAGUAUGGGAGAGGUGAGUGGAAUUUCCGGUGUAGCGGUGAAAUGCGUAGAUAUCGGAAGGAACACCUGUGGCGAAAGCGGCUCACUGGUCCAUAACUGACGCUGAUGCACGAGAGCUAGGGGAGCAAACAGGAUUAGAUACCCCUGUAGUCCCUGUCUCUUAUAC
rnacentral:rRNA from 1 species